CCUACGGGAGGCAGCAGUGAGGAAUAUUGGUCAAUGGAGGCAACUCUGAACCAGCCAUCCCGCGUGAAGGAUUGAAGGCGCUCGACGUCGUAAACUUCUUUUAUAUAGGAAUAACCGUAAGUACGUGUACUUACCUGAAUGUACUAUAUGAAUAAGCAUCGGCUAACUCCGUGCCAGCAGCCGCGGUAAUACGGAGGAUGCAAGCGUUAUCCGGAUUUAUUGGGUUUAAAGGGUCCGCAGGCGGAUCGGUCAGUCAGUGGUGAAAUCCCAUCGCUCAACGAUGGAACUGCCAUUGAUACUGCCGGUCUUGAGUCUAGUUGACGUAGGCGGAAUAUGACAUGUAGCGGUGAAAUGCAUAGAUAUGUCAUAGAACACCAAUUGCGAAGGCAGCUUACGAAACUACGACUGACGCUCAUGGACGAAAGCGUGGGUAGCGAACAGGAUUAGAUACCCUGGUAGUCCACGCCGUAAACGAUGAUCACUCGAUGUCAGCGAUAUACUGUUGGUGUCUUAGCGAAAGUUUUAAGUGAUCCACCUGGGGAGUACGUUCGCAAGAAUGAAACUCAAAGGAAUUGACGG
rnacentral:rRNA from 1 species